rnacentral:tRNA from 1 species
GUCCGAGUGGUUUAAGGAACCGGUCUUGAAAACCGGCGUGCGUGAGAGCGUACCGUGGGUUCGAAUCCCACCCCAUCUGCCA